GUAAGACCCGUAAAAAAUAAUUGCUGCACCUAGUAAAAAUGAUGAAAUCCCUAUUAUAAAAAUUAAACGGACGUUUACUUUAGUUUCAAUUCCUGCUGUGCUGCUGUGUGGCUGAAGGUUAUUUUAUCUCAGAAUGGAAAAAGCAAAAGGAGACAUAAGCAAUGCAAAAGGAGACAAGCAAGAUGAGAAGAACAGUCCAGAAGGGAAGAAGAUGAGCGAGAAGAAGGGGGGAAGUAAAGGUGAGAAGAAAGACAAGAAGAAGAAGAAGAAGAAGUAGAAUGAAAUAAUGUAUAUCAAAACACAUGGGGCAACCACUACACGUAAAAAAAUAAAUUUGGCUAAGAUAUAUGAUGUACAGUUAUUUUCUGUUAAGUAAUAAACGUUUGUAUCUAUAA